rnacentral:rRNA from 1 species
AACGCUGGCGGCGUGCCUAAUACAUGCAAGUCGAGCGGACGUUUAUGGUGCUUGCACCGAUAAAACGUUAGCGGCGGACGGGUGAGUAACACGUGGGCAACCUACCCUAUAGUUGGGAUAACUCCGGGAAACCGGGGCUAAUACCGAAUAAUACUUUUUUGGCUCCUGUCAGAAAGUUGAAAGAUGGUUCUGCUAUCGCUAUAGGAUGGGCCCGCGGCGCAUUAGCUAGUUGGUGAGGUAACGGCUCACCAAGGCAACGAUGCGUAGCCGACCUGAGAGGGUGAUCGGCCACACUGGGACUGAGACACGGCCCAGACUCCUACGGGAGGCAGCAGUAGGGAAUCUUCCACAAUGGGCGAAAGCCUGAUGGAGCAACGCCGCGUGAGUGAAGAAGGAUUUCGGUUCGUAAAACUCUGUUGUAGGGGAAGAACAAGUAGCGUAGUAACUGGCGCUACCUUGACGGUACCUUAUUAGAAAGCCACGGCUAACUACGUGCCAGCAGCAGC